rnacentral:rRNA from 1 species
UACGAAGGGGGCUAGCGUUGCUCGGAAUCACUGGGCGUAAAGCGCACGUAGGCGGCUUUCUAAGUCAGGGGUGAAAUCCUGGAGCUCAACUCCAGAACUGCCUUUGAUACUGGAGGGCUUGAGUCCGGAAGAGGUGAGUGGAACUGCGAGUGUAGAGGUGAAAUUCGUAGAUAUUCGCAAGAACACCAGUGGCGAAGGCGGCUCACUGGCCCGGUACUGACGCUGAGACGCGAAAGCGUGGGGAGCGAACAGG